rnacentral:rRNA from 1 species
CGUGGAAGAUGACCACGUUGAUAGGCUACAGGUGUAAAGGCAGUAAUGUCAUAGCCGAGUAGUACUAAUAACCCGUAUGCUUAUUGUA